GGGCAGGCAACCACGGUAGGGUCAGCGACUGGGGUGAAGUCGUAACAAGGUAGCCGUAGGGGAACCUGUGGCUGGAUCACCU
rnacentral:rRNA from 1 species